rnacentral:misc_RNA from 1 species
GAUGAAGAACGUAGCGAAAUGCGAUAAGUAAUGUGAAUUGCAGAAUUCAGUGAAUCAUCGAAUCUUUGAACGCAUCUUGCGCUCCUUGGUAUUCUGAGGAGCAUGCCUGUUUGAGUGUCAUUAAAUUCUCAACUACACUGACUUUGAAUUGGUGUGGCUUGGAUUUGGGGGGAAAAUUGUUGUGGGCUUUUUGUAUAGUCUGCUCCCCUGAAAUUGAUUAGCGGUACCUUUGUGGAACUGUCUACAGGUGUGAUAAUUAUCUACAUCUUAGACAUCUGCUGGAAUGCUGCUUUCUAAACCUUACUUGUAUUGACAAUCUUGACCUCAAAUCAGGUAGGUCUACCCGCUGAACUUAAGAAUAUCAAUAAGCGGAGGA